rnacentral:rRNA from 1 species
UACGUAGGGAGCGAGCGUUGUCCGGAAUUACUGGGUGUAAAGGGAGCGUAGGCGGGCGAGAAAGUUGAAUGUUAAAUCUACCGGCUUAACUGGUAGCUGCGUUCAAAACUUCUUGUCUUGAGUGAAGUAGAGGCAGGCGGAAUUCCUAGUGUAGCGGUGAAAUGCGUAGAUAUUAGGAGGAACACCAGUGGCGAAGGCGGCCUGCUGGGCUUUAACUGACGCUGAGGCUCGAAAGCGUGGGGAGCAAACAG